rnacentral:rRNA from 1 species
GACAGAGGGUGCAAACGUUGUUCGGAAUCACUGGGCGUAAAGGGCGCGUAGGCGGCCGAUCAAGUCGGGGGUGAAAGCCUGUGGCUCAACCACAGAAUUGCCUUCGAUACUGUUUGGCUUGAGACCGGAAGAGGUUAGUGGAACUGCGAGUGUAGAGGUGAAAUUCGUAGAUAUUCGCAAGAACACCAGUGGCGAAGGCGGGUUGCUGGGCCGACACUGACGCUGAGGCGCGAAAGCCAGGGGAGCGAACGGGG